rnacentral:pre_miRNA from 1 species
GUGUCUUUGUCUCGAUGGAUAGUGUUCAGCACCAGGGACAGGUGUGUUUGCCUGUGUGUGUGUGUGUGGAUAGUGUUCAGCACCAGGGACAGGUAUGUUUGCCU